rnacentral:lncRNA from 1 species
GGUGGUGAGAAUUAAUGUAUUUGUUUAGUAUAGUGGGGAACAAAGCAUGCAAGUGUGGGGAACAAAACAUAAUGGGAUGGAAAGAUUAAAAAGGGAUUGAUUAAAGUAUGUUGCCCAUACCUGCUUUGGGUUUUAAAUAGAGUCACUUAGGAUGGUUUUGGGGAGAGGAUUUUUUUGGAGGGACGAAGACAUUCUGGAAAUCUAGAGAAGGGUUGAACAUUUCUCUGAAAAUCUUAAGAGAGUGCUGGAGAGUUUAAAAAGAGAAAACAAAAACAAAGUGAGAGACGAGUUUAGUUUCGGGUUUAAUACACGCGUGGUUGAGUCUGUUUGUGGUGAUGCGGGUUGUUGCUGUUUGGUCUUUUACAAACUUUUGGGGUUGUUCUAUCGAGUUUGCUUGGUUUUCUUCAAACUUUCCCGGGCCUCGAAUCUGGUUUGACUUGCUGCUAUUGGGUUGCUGUUGUCUUGCCGUGUUAUUACUGUUGCUGACUGCUCUUUCAUCUUCUUGUAUUGUCAUUUCCAGGUACACAGCUGUAACCUUGGUCAUUUGUAAGCCGAAAAUAUAAGCAUGAAUAUACAUGAAGAUUUGAAGCUUUAAGUUUGAUCUAGAUUUUCUACUGAUUUGUAUAUUAGGAUAGAAUAUCAUGCAAAUGCCUGCGGAAUGCCUAAACUGGACUGUUGAAUCUAUUUCUACAAACAUGUGAAUAAUGUUAGUAAACUAAUAUUCUCGAAUGUUAGUGAUUGAUGUUAGCUUAAUGUCGGUUCUUUAGCAUUGACGCAUUUCUUCGACAAAUCGUAAAAAGAGUAAAAAAUGGCUUUGUAUUACACAUAGUCAAUUCCAAUAGUUCAAGUCAUCUAAUAAUGUUAGUUUAAAUUAAUCAAUGAAUAGUUGGUCUGUUUUGAUAUUACCGGGUGUCAAUCUCGUGUCCUAUUCAUAAUCUCAACUUUAGUGUUAUUAACUAGUAGAAUAAGGAACGAAAUAAUCUCCCUUUGUACAAGCCCGAUUACAAUUUCCCAUUUUGCAUUUUCGUCUUAGACUAGUAACUAAUAAGUCACGCCCCCUUUUUAAGCAUGUAAUUAAUUUGGAGAUUUUCUUUUAGAGACAAACUUAAUAAAAAUGUAGUCACUUUAGGAUUGUCCUUUUAAAAUAAAUGAGAUGAGCCUCGCUGGAUAAACACAUAAAUGGCGGGGCCCUCGUUAAAUGUAUGUAUUAAAUACUUAGAUUCCGGGACGGGUCGUUUAGCAAAUUCCACGGCCCUACCCAAAAUAAAGAUACGCUAGUCGUUUAGGUCGCGUAUUUAAUUAGUGUUAUCUUCUUAAACUCGGGUGCACAUUUAUGUGACCCAAAUCCAAAUCUCAACAGAGUUGAAAUGUGCCAACCACGGGUGCAUUGAUGUAACGUGGUUCGAGAUGUAUUUCCACGAUGUUGCAAUUCUUGAUAAAAAUAAUAAUAAUGAUAAAAGCAGUUAAAAGUUAGAAUUCGCACAUAGGUUCAACAUGUAUUAAAUCAGAUAAUCAAGCCGAAUAUGACAGUUGAGCGACCGUGCUAGAACCACGGAACUCGGGAAUGCCUAACACCUUCUCCCGGGUUAACAGAAUUCCUUAUCCGAAUUUCUGGUACGCAGACUGUUAAACAGAGUCAAUAUUUUCCUCGAUUCGGGAUUCAACCGGUGACUUGGGACACCAUAAAUCUCCCAAGUGGCGACUCUGAAAUAAAUAAAUAAAUCCCGUUUCGAUUGUCCUUUAAUUGAAAAAACUCUCUUUUACGCCCCUUUGCGGGGUGUAGGCAAAAAAGGAGGUGUGACAGCUAAUUCUUACUAAAAGAUAGUGCUUUAUGAAAAUUUCUCUCCUUAUAAUUUUAUCACAAUCCGACAACCUCAAAUCAAAUGAAACGUUAACAGAGGAUAAUUUCAAAAACCCAUUUCAGUUAAGGUCUUAAGUCAAUUCAACCAAUCCAUAGAAAAACACAUCAUGAACAAAGUCUCAUACGCAAUAUUAAGUGAAAGGGGCAAGAAAUGGACCUUUGUGAGCAAAUCUUUUCAAUUUAACAGUCUCCAGCCAAAACUUGUACAAUCGCCACGGGUGAAUUGUAAAAUAAAGUCACUGACCAAAUUUGAACCCAAAAAUUGACUCAAGAUGGAAAUCGCGCACGGCCUCAACGAACCUCGACCACAAACCGAUGAGAUAACUCUUAGUUAAGCAGGAAUUAAUUUUAAUACUCGACAGACCAUGGACAAGACCUUAACCGAAGCUCCGACACAUUCGACCUCGUCGGAAAUUCGAGACUAGUCGGAAAGACAAACUUCGAACCCCAAACUUUAAAAGCCUCACUUCGACUCCAUUGUGGGGUGAUGCUCGAUUUUUGUGGGUGGCGGGACGUUAGAGUUUAGGUGUUUGACUGGAGUUUUUUCGCUGGUUUUGAUUGAUUUUUGGAUAUGGUUUCACUGCUGAUUUUUGAUGGAAAAAGUGGCGUGUUUGGUGUUGAACUCGACUGAAAAAGGAAGAUGCUACAUGGCUUUGUUUUGGGGCUGGUUGAGGUCGCUUUUGAGCUUGAUUUGGGGUGUUUUUCAGCUCGUUUUUUGUGAUGACCAAUAGGUCAUCUAGAGCUUUAACCCUUAAUUUUGUGUUUUGAAACCUCAAAAAGAUCCUUUUAGCUAUCCUGAU